ensembl:lncRNA
AUGCAGUGGGCAGUUACAGGUCACUACAGCCUCCAACUCUUGAACCCAAGCAAUCCUCCCACUUCAGCCUCCCAAGUAUCUGGGACCAUGAGCGUGUGGCACGACGUAGUUCCCUUCUUUUUACACAGUGUGGUGGCCAGCACGGCAUGGAACAUGGUCAUCAGCAGCCUAGAGGCACAUCUUCUCCAGUUCAUCCUCCUAAUUCAAAAAUCCUUCCUCCCAGUUCUAGUGGAAAGAUCCAGGGAGAGGUCUCUGAUUGAUGGUAUUCAAGGCAGGUGCCCAUCUCUGAUGAAUCGCUGCAGCGGGCAGGGUGGGGCUGGCUCUGUGGGUCACUCUGAUCCCAGGUAGGGGAAAGAGGUGUUGGGUUGCGAUGGUGAUAAACACAGUCAAUCCUCACUAUUUGCAGAUUUCUUGUUUGCAAACUCACUUACUUGCUAAAAUUUACUCGUAGCCCCCAAAUUAUUCACAGUGCUUUUGUGGUCAUUCACAGCCAUGCAGAGAGCAGUGAGAAAUUGGAGUUGCCUGGUACAUUGAGUUGCACAUGUUCCCGGCUGAAGCCAAGCAAGGCGACUCUCUGCCUCCUGUCUCAUUCACCAUAAGCCAGUGUCCUUUUCAAGGUGUAUGCAGUGCUGUGUUUCUUACAUUUUGUGCUUUUAUUGAUGAUUUUGCUGUGUAUAACAUCAGUGCUGAAGUACUAUCAAGUUUUCCCAAGUAAGAAGGAUGUGAUGGUGCUGGGUGCGGUGGCUCACACUUGUAAUCCCAGCACUUUGGGAUGCUGAGGCAGGUGGAUCACAAGGUCAGGAGUUCGAGACCAGCCUGGCCAACAUGGUGAAAUCCUAUCUCUAAUAAAAAUACAAAAAUUAGCUGGGCAUGGUGGCACACAUCUGUAAUCCCAGCUACUUGGAGGCUGAGGCAGGAGAAUUGCUUGAACCCUGGAGGCGGAGGUUGCAGUGAGCUGAGAUUGUGUCAAUGCACUCCAGCCUGGGCAACAAGAGCUAGACCGUCUCAAAAAAAAAAAAAAGAGAAGGAUGUGAUGUGCCUUACAGAGAAAAUAUGUGCAUUGGAAAAGUUUCAUUCGGGCAUGAGCUGCAGUCCUGUUGGCCAUGCUUAGUUCAAUGUUAAUGGACCAGCAAUAUAUGUGAAAUACAUAUUAAAAUUAAACAGAAACAGACACACGGCAAGAUUAUAUAUUGAUCUGUUGAUGAAAAUAUUGUGACCAGAGGCUUGCAGGAACCUAACCCUGCAUGCCCCCUAGGAUCAAUGGUUUGGUGUUCGUUAAAUCAGCAUUUGUGGUGAUUUUAUAGAACGUGACUGUGGUGAAUAACAAGAAUGCACUGGACCAUGCAAAAGGAGCUGAGACUAUCCUGGAAGCAGUAGGGUUUUAAACGAGAGGGAGAUGGAUAUGAUUUGUGUUUGAAAAAGUCCCUCUGGCUACUGGGUGGAGGUUAGAAGGGAGGACCCAGGAAUGAAUGCAGAAGAGUCAGAAGGUGGUUAUAGAAUCCUCAUGAGAGAUAAUGACAUCCAAUCCAGGAAAGGGGGCUGGGGAAGAGGAGAAGAGGAUGCGCUUGAGAGAGAUAUUUGAUAGGUAAAGUUGGUAAGAAUGGAAACUCACUGGAUGAUGGGAGUAGGGAAGGAGGACCCCAAACAUCUCCGUGCUUUAAAAAUGUCAACAUCUGAUUAUUAAAGGAAUGUCUUAUUGUUCUGCACCACGUGUUUUCUUCCGUGAGGGGUGGUGGGGACCCUCAGACUUUGGUGGGGAGCUGAGCAGCUGUAAGAGCUGGUGUUUGGGGACAGGCACACAUUCUCCCAACGCCCUCCCUGUUAACGGCACGAAGGACCAGCUGUGUUUUCUCUGCCUCCUUACAUCAUCACCAGUCAUAAAAACCCGAC